UCAUUUUGCAGAACAUAUUUAUUUUUUGGGGGGGGAUUCAAACGUUGUUACAAAAAAGUAAAGUGUUGAAAUCGCACACACCACUCCCCGACACAUUGUUAUUCAUAAAUACAACCAUAAAUACUCAUUCAUGAAAUAUAUACAUUGAAAAUCAAGUUUAAACCUUGGUGCUGAAGUCGUCCGUACACUCGGAGGUAACAUUAUAUAGCAUCAGCAUCACUCACGUAAGACCCCCUAAGGGUGUGAAUUCGGUGUUUCUUCCUAGAUUACAUCGCAUUGCAUAGCUUGGAUUGAUAAACAUGUGAGAAAUGUGCCUUUUAUAUAUAAAAAAAAGAAUGUGCAUUUGGUUAUUUAUAUUUGAGGUGUGCGAUAGAACCAAGCCCACAGCUGUGUAGUUUAUAUCCGGGCCCAUAUUCAGAACGCCUCUUAGGGUAGCGGGGCUGAUGUAGGAUCAGGUCUUCCCUGUCCAUGUAAUGUUAUUCAUUCUGAUCUAGGAUCAGGUCUUCCCUGUCCAUGUAGUCUUACUCAUUAUGAUCUAGCGUCAGGUCUUCCCUGUCCCUGUAAUGUUAUUCAUUCUGAUCUAGGAUCAGGUCUUCCCUGUCCAUGUAAUGCUAUUCAUUCUGAUCUAGGAUCAGGUCUUCCCUGUCCAUGUAAUGCUAUUCAUUCUGAUCUAGGAUCAGGUCUUCCCUGUCCAUGUAGUCUUACUCAUUAUGAUCUAAAAGACUAAACUGAUCCUAGAUCAACACUCCAACUCUGAGGCUUUAUGACUGUGGGCAUAAUAUGGAUAUUUGUUUUUCCCUUUAUAUAACUAGGCAAGUCAAAUUCUUAUUUACAAUGACAGCCUACCAGAGAACAGUGGGUUAACUGCCUUGUUCAGGGGGAGAAUGACUUUUUUUUUACCUUGUCAGCUCGGGGAUGUCGAUCAAGUAACCUUUCGGUUACUUGCCCAAUUCCAAUACCACUUGGCUACCUGCCGCCUCAUCAGAGCUCUGUCUGGUGAAUAAAGGACUGUCCUAAUCCUAUAGGGUCAAAAUGGUACAUAACUAACUGCUAGGCCUACUGGUGAUUGGUCAACAAUGAGGACUGAUAAAUGCAGUAUGCCUCAAUCCCAGAACAAAUCCAUUGGCAGAUAUCCUUGAUUACCACAACGAUAGACAAAGACCUCCAAACAUUCGACUGGACCCAGGUACAGUGAGUUAUAUCAUGGAAUACUCUCAGGUUCAGGAUGCAUCCCAAAUGGCACCCCAUUCCCUAUACAGUGCACUACUUUAGACCAGAGCCCUAUGGCACCCUAUUCCCUAUAUAGUGCACUACUUUAGACCAGAGCCCUAUGGCACCCUAUUCCCUAUAUAGUGCACUACUUUAGACCAGAGCCCUAUGGCACCCUAUUCCAUUUAUAGUGCACUACUUUAGACCAGAGCCCUAUGGCACCCUAUUCCCUAUAUAGUGCACUACUUUAGACCAGAGCCCUAUGGCACCCUAUUCCCUAUAUAUAGUGCACUACUUUAGACCAGAGCCCUAUGGGAAUAAGGUGCCAUUUGGGAAGCUGUCCAGAUAAAGUAAAUGCUGUUGUUUUCUGAGAUUAAAGAGCGUGUU
rnacentral:lncRNA from 1 species